AAUUCGGAACUCGUUCCUAGGCGAUCACGGUGGCCACGAUAGCAAAAAAUGAUUUAGGCUGUUUGAUCCGUAUCGGACGACUGUUAGUACUUCCGUACGUGGUUAACUGUUCAAUGGUAUACGUGCUUCCUUCCUACAGGUUGCCGACGGCUGAAGUGGAAAAAAAUGUUUGUUUUUCCGAUGACCCCUCGACUUCCACUUCGCCUUCCUCAUUCCUCAGUUCCGUGGCUUUGUCUUCCGCUUCGUUCUUGUCGCCUCCACAGUCUUCCUCUCUGGCUUCAGUCGCUUGUGCCCCAUCUUAGCCGUAGGCAGUAAAAAUCGCCGGCGGCGUUGCUGAGUGCUGCAUCCAAGCCCUAACCACUGAAAAUCGCCGGGUCCGUCGCUUGGGGGUGCAAUGCCAUAGUCAGAUUGGGAGAAGCGCAGGACACUACUCUGACUGUUGUGCCUCGGCUGGAUUAUGAGAAAGAGCUUGCUGCCCUUUCAGACCCAGUUACUUCAGAGAGUUUUUCUGAAAUUGAGGAAAUUACUCGGACUGUUGUGCCUGGGAUCCAUUCUGAAAAAGCGUUGCUUGCCUAUUCUGACGACCUCGCUUCAGAUAGUUGUUGUGAUGCUUAUGCCUCUGAUUGAUUUUGCAAAUUAAGAUCAAAGGCCUCCAUGCCUGGAUCCGUUCGUUGCCCCACCGGAUGUGGCAUCAAGGCAUCCGCUCGCUACGUUGGCGGCGAGGGAUGCGGCAUGCAUGGAUGGGAACGUCUUGUGGAUGUGUGCUUGGUACGUGCUGUUCAUACACUGCAGUUGAGAUCUUGAGGAAACUUUAGUGGUGGCGCUGAUGACUCAGCUCGAUGGCAGGACUGCCUGGUUUGCUAGGUGCUCACCGUCGGCCAGGACUACUACAUACAAGGGAUGCUGGUCAACUUAUCCGAGAUCAGCAACCUCAAUCUAUCUCUGACCUGAAAGUGUGCAUACGAAGAAACCCUCAGAGGCAAGCUGGUUCUAGACAUGAUGAUGAUCAGUUGUGUCGUCUACUCUCUGACUGCAACGCACAGAUGCAUUUACAGUUCAAUUUCCAUGGCUGCUCUACCACAGUUGCUCAUCAUGCCCUGUUGCAGCGUUAGUGUAGUGUCCAUUUUGUUGCUGCUGCUUAUCCUUCCAUUGUCACAAAGGCAAUACAAUCUUUAAUUUCACAUUACUACUAUCCAAGUUCAGUCCUUGGCUUAUUGGAGAAAGGAGAGGGGCUGGGAUAGUUUGUUCUGUUUUUUUGGGUGACUCCUCUGUUUGUUUCUAUAGUAUUUUUUAUAUUUUUCCUAUGCCAUCAACUUGGAGACCAAUUGGAUGAUUUCUUUUAUCCUUUACUUGAUUAUAUGUUCUCUUA